GUAUUGUAUUGCGUUGAACGCGGCGCACAUUCCAUAAGACUUUGCUGCGGUGUGUGUGUGUAAAGACGUAGAGCUACAGGAGGGAGGAGACAAUGCGCCCCCCCCCAGACCAUAGAACUACAGAGGGUGCACAGGUGUGAGUGGAUGUGUGGACAGAGCGUGCACAUGCCCCCGUUUGAGGACCAGCGACAACUCGUGUCGACAACUCAGUAAUGAUCCUUCCGCAGGUUCACCUACGGAAA
rnacentral:misc_RNA from 1 species